AUCUUCGCAAUGCAUCCAAUAUGGAUAUCUGUGCUAAUUUUAGAGCUAAUACACGCAAUCAAGCCCCUUAAUUGGGGAGCAUUUAUUAGAACAAAACCGAUCGGGGUCUCCCCGCUGUUGGUGAAUCUGAAUAACUGUGCAGAUCGCAGGUCUUUGUACCGGCGACACAUUGCAAGAGUGAGUGCCUUAUCAACUGUCGAUGGUAGUAUAUAUGCCUACCAUGGUUAUUACGGGUAACGGAGAAUUAGGGUUUGACUCCGGAGAGGCAGCCUGAGAGACGGCUACCAGUUCUAAGGAACGCAGCAGGCGCGCAAAUUACACAAUGACAGUAAACUGUUGAUGUAGUGACAAGAGGUAACGGGGCGGUCCUCUAUGAGGCCCGUCAUUGUAUUGAGUAAAACUCAAAAUAUUUAACGAAACCAAUUGGAGGGCAAGUCUGGUGCCAGCAGCCGCGGUAAUUCCAGCUCCAAAAGCAUAUAUUAAAGUUGUUGCGGUUAAAAAGCUCGUAGUUGGAUCCAUGACCUCGGAGGGCGGUCCCCCACUGGGUGCGUACUGCUGCUCCGAGUCCUAUCUGUCAGUUUGUCUGUGUUGCCUUUAAUCGGGUGGCACAGGUGACUGACGUGUUUACUUUGAAAAAAUUAGAGUGUUUAAAGCAGGCGUUGAAUGCCUGAAUAGUGGUGCAUGGAAUAAUGGAAUAGGAUCUCGGUUCUAUUUUGUUGGUUCAAGAGCAUGAGAAAAUGAUUAAGAGGGACAGACGGGGGCAUUUGUAUUGCUGCGUUAGAGGUGAAAUUCUUGGAUCGUAGCAAGACAAACUACUGCGAAGGCAUUUGCCAAGAAUGUUUUCAUUAAUCAAGAACGAAAGUUAGAGGUUCGAAGGCGAUCAGAUACCGCCCUAGUUCUAACCGUAAACCAUGUCGACUAGCUAUCUGUCAGCGUUAAUAAUGACCUGACAGGCAGCUUACCGGAAACGAAAGUUUCUCGAUUCCGGGGGUAGUAUGGUUGCAAAGCUGAAACUUAAAGGAAUUGACGGAAGGGCACCACCAGGAGUGGAGCCUGCGGCUUAAUUUGACCCAACACGGGAAAACUCACCCGGCCCGGACACCGUAAGGAUUGACAGAUUAAUAGCUCUUUCUCGAUUUGGUGAUUGGUGGUGCAUGGCCGUUCUUAGUUGGUGGAGCGAUUUGUCUGGUUAAUUCCGAUAACGAACGAGAUUCUAACUUACUAACUAGUUCCACGAUCCUUGUGGUCCUAAAUACUCCUUAGAGGGAAAACCGGCAUUUAGUCGAACGAGA
rnacentral:rRNA from 1 species